UGGAUUAGGAUUUGGGUUAGGUUUUAGGAUUUGGUUAGGGUUUGAUUUAGAAUUUGGAUUAGGGUCUGGAUUAGAAUUUAGGAUUUGAUUAGGGUUUGAUUUAGGAUUUGGAUUAGAAUUUGGUUAGGGUUUGAUUUAAGAUUUGAUUUAGGAUUUAAAGUUGGAUUAGAGUUUGGAUUAGGGUUUAGGGUUUAAUAUAGAGUUUGAUUUAGGGUUUAGGAUUUGAAAUAGGGUUUGAUUUAGGGUUUAAUUUAAGGUUUUUUUAGAAUUUGACUUAGGGUUUAGGAUUUAUUAGGGUUUAAGAUUUAAUUAGGUUUGAGCUAAAGUGUGAAUGAAAUUCAAUAGGGUUUUAACUAGAAUUAAAUUAAGGUUGAAUUGACAUAUAUUUGAGUAAUAUUUGUGAUCAUUCUAAUAUUUCUUUAGGAAUUUUAUUGUUUGUUUGAAAUUUCUUUGAGUUGUUUUGAAUUUGAUUACGUUUUUUUAUCAUUAUUAUAGUCUAAUUAGAGCAUUGUUAAUAUUCUAUUAGAAUUAGGAUUUUGUUAUCGCAAUUUCUAUUCUUCCUUCUACAGCCAGGUGCCCAGAGCAUUCUCAAGCAAGACUUCACACAUUUCGACACCAUUCUCUAUGCCGUUUUGAGAAACGUCCUUUUCAUUGAA
rnacentral:lncRNA from 1 species